ACUGAUCGGCACACGCUUGUCUUGAUGACUUUAAUGGGCCAAUGCAUGGCUUUUAUGAUCAGAGGAAGUCUCUCCGUCGCAAUCGUUGCCAUGGUGUCCUCUAAUUCCAGUUCGACUCACGGUCACGGGGCUGAGAAUCACGUCGAUGUUUGUCCAGUGCCGCCUUGUGCCAACUGUACCCUCGGUCUAGAAAAGGAAGGCGAAUUCGACUGGGAUGAACAGCUGCAAGGCUUGGUGCUUGGGGCGCACUUCUACGGAUACUUGUCGUCGUGUUUUGUCGCAGGACUGGUGGUGGAUCACUUCGGCGGGCGCCUCAUGUACGGCGUCAGUAACGUGGGAAUGUCGAUCCUCAGUGUGCUGGCUCCCGUCUCAGCUCGCACGUCUAUUUGGCUGUUGAUCACCAACAAAGUUCUCAGCGGUUUGAUCCAGUUAAAAGACAUCGACUUCAAGCGUGUCCUGACUUCUCUCCCCUUUUGGGCGCUCGUGUCGUUCCACAUAGGAGACAACUUCGGCUACUACUUGCUGUCUUCGGAGAUGCCUACCUACCUGAGCAACAUCCAGCAUCUUGACCUUAACAAGGU